CUACGGCGGCACCAGUCACGGAACCUUUACAAUGCGCGAAAGCGUGAUAGGGGAAUUCCAAGUGCUUUGCCAAUGGUAAGGCUUUUGCCAAGUGUAAGGAGCUUGGCGAAUAAGUGGUGGGCAAGACUGGUGCCAGCCGCCGCGGUAACACCAUGCGCCACAAGUGGUAGCCACAUUUAUUGGGUCUAACGCGUUCGUAGCCGGUUUAGUAAAUUCUAUGUGAAAUCGUCUGGCUCAACCAAACGGUGUGCAUAGAACACUGCUAAACUUGAGACCGGGAGGAGUUAGGGGUAUUCCGGGGGGAGCGGUAAAAUGUUAUAAUCCCUGGAGGACCACCAGUGGCGAAGGCUUCUAACUAGAACGGGUCUGACGGUGAGGAACGAAGGCCUGGGGAGCAAAACGGAUUAGAUACCCGCGUAGUC
rnacentral:rRNA from 1 species